AGGUGGGAGGAUUGCUUGAGCCUGGGAGGUGGAGGUUGCAGUGAGCCAAGAUCGUGCCACUGCACUCCAGCCUGGGUGACAGAGUGACACCUUGUCU
rnacentral:miRNA from 1 species